UGUUAUUAAAAAAUUUAAAUUAAAAAAAAUAGAAUAUUAAAAGUUUAUAGUCUUUAAAAUUAAAAAAUUUGGCGGUAUUUUAAUUUAUUCAGAGGAACUUGUUUUUUAAUUGAUAAUCCUCAUUAAAUCUUACUUAAUUUUAUUUAAUUUGUAUAUCGUCGUCAUAAGAAUUUCUUAAAAAAAGAUAAAAAUUUUCUAAUUUAAAUUUUAUUAGUUAUGUCAGAUCAAGGUGCAGUUUAUAAUUAAGAUAAAAUGAGUUACAAUAAAUUUAUUUAUAUGAAUUUUAAAAUUAAAAAUUUUUAUGAAGGUGGAUUUGAAAGUAAAUUAAUUUAUUAAAUUUAAUUGAUUAUAAUUUUAAAAUAUGUACAAAUCGC
rnacentral:rRNA from 1 species